rnacentral:rRNA from 1 species
UACAGAGGUCUCAAGCGUUGUUCGGAUUCAUUGGGCGUAAAGGGUGUGUAGGUGGCGCGCUAAGUCGGGUGUGAAAUUUCGGAGCUUAACUCCGAAACUGCAUUCGAUACUGGCGUGCUUGAGGACUGGAGAGGAGACUGGAAUUUACGGUGUAGCAGUGAAAUGCGUAGAUAUCGUAAGGAAGACCAGUGGCGAAGGCGGAUCUCUGGACAGUUCCUGACGCUGAGGCGCGAAGGCCAGGGGAGCAAACGGG